GAACGCUAGCGACAGGCUAACACAUAGCAAGUCGAGGGGCAGACAUAAAAGUAGCAAUACUUGGUGGCGACCGGCGCACGGUGAGUAACGCGUAUGCAACCUACCUAUCAGAGGGGAAUAACCCGGCGAAAGUCGGACUAAUACCGCAUAAAACAGGGGCACCGCAUGGUGAUAUUUGUUAAAGAAAUUCGCUGAUAGAUGGGCAUGCGUUCCAUUAGGUAGUUGGUGAGGUAACGGCUCACCAAGCCGACGAUGGAUAGGGAACUGAGAGGUUGGUCCCCCACACUGGUACUGAGACACGGACCAGACUCCUACGGGAGGCAGCAGUGAGGAAUAUUGGUCAAUGGGCGGGAGCCUGAACCAGCCAAGUCGCGUGAAGGAAGAAGGAUCUAUGGUUCGUAAACUUCUUUUGCAGGGGAAUAAAGUGCAGGACGUGUCCUGUUUUGUAUGUACCCUGAGAAUAAGGAUCGGCUAACUCCGUGCCAGCCGCCGC
rnacentral:rRNA from 1 species